AAAUGAAUAGACGGGGGCCCGCACAAGCAGUGGAGUAUGUGGUUUAAUUCGAAGCAACGCGAAGAACCUUACCAGGUCUUGACAUCGUAUGCAUAGUCUAGAGAUAGAUGAAACCUCUUCGGAGGCAUAUAGACAGGUGGUGCAUGGUUGUCGUCAGCUCGUGUCGUGAGAUGUUGGGUUAAGUCCCGCAACGAGCGCAACCCUUACCUUUAGUUGCUACGCAAGAGCACUCUAAAGGGACUGCCGUUGACAAAACGGAGGAAGGUGGGGAUGACGUCAAAUCAUCAUGCCCCUUAUGACCUGGGCUACACACGUACUACAAUGGCAAUUAACAAAGAGAAGCAAGACGGUGACGUGGAGCGAAUCUCAAAAAAUUGUCCCAGUUCAGAUUGCAGGCUGCAACUCGCCUGCAUGAAGUCGGAAUUGCUAGUAAUCGCGGAUCAGCAUGCCGCGGUGAAUACGUUCCCGGGCCUUGUACACACCGCCCGU
rnacentral:rRNA from 1 species